CUACGUGCCAGCAGCCGCGGUAAUACGUAGGGGGCAAGCGUUAUCCGGAUUUACUGGGUGUAAAGGGAGCGUAGACGGAAUGGCAAGUCUGAAGUGGAAUACCCGGGCUCAACCUGGGAACUGCUUUGGAAACUGUUGUUCUAGAGUGUUGGAGAGGUAAGUGGAAUUCCUGGUGUAGCGGUGAAAUGCGUAGAUAUCAGGAAGAACACCGGAGGCGAAGGCGGCUUACUGGACAAUAACUGACGUUGAGGCUCGAAAGCGUGGGGAUCAAACAGGAUUAGAUACCCUGGUAGUCCUAGCUGUAAACGAUGGACACUAGGUGUGGGAGAAUACGUCUUCCGUGCCGCAGCUAACGCAUUAAGUGUCCCGCCUGGGGAGUACGGCCGCAAGGCUAAAACUCAAAGGAAUUGACGGGGACCCGCACAAGCAGCGGAGCAUGUGGUUUAAUUCGAAGCAACGCGAAGAACCUUACCAGGGCUUGACAU
rnacentral:rRNA from 1 species